rnacentral:rRNA from 1 species
UACGAAGGGGGCUAGCGUUGUUCGGAAUCACUGGGCGUAAAGCGCACGUAAGCGGAUCUUUAAGUCAGGGGUGAAAUCCCGAGGCUCAACCUCGGAACUGCCUUUGAUACUGGGGAUCUCGAGUCCGGGAGAGGUGAGUGGAACUGCGAGUGUAGAGGUGAAAUUCGUAGAUAUUCGCAAGAACACCAGUGGCGAAGGCGGCUCACUGGCCCGGAACUGACGUUGAGGUGCGAAAGCGUGGGGAGCAAACAGG